CCUACGGGGGGCAGCAGUGGGGAAUAUUGGACAAUGGGGGCAACCCUGAUCCAGCCAUGCCGCGUGUGUGAAGAAGGCCCUCGGGUUGUAAAGCACUUUCAGUGAGGAAGAACGCCUGGUGGUUAAUACCCAUCAGGAAAGACAUCACUCACAGAAGAAGCACCGGCUAACUCCGUGCCAGCAGCCGCGGUAAUACGGAGGGUGCGAGCGUUAAUCGGAAUUACUGGGCGUAAAGCGCGCGUAGGUGGCUUGAUAAGCCGGUUGUGAAAGCCCCGGGCUCAACCUGGGAACGGCAUCCGGAACUGUCAAGCUAGAGUGCAGGAGGGGAAGGUAGAAUUCCCGGUGUAGCGGUGAAAUGCGUAGAGAUCGGGAGGAAUACCAGUGGCGAAGGCGGCCUUCUGGACUGACACUGACACUGAGGUGCGAAAGCGUGGGUAGCAAACAGGAUUAGAUACCCUUGUAGUC
rnacentral:rRNA from 1 species